AAAUUUUUACUUGUCUGGAUUUAAUUUUUGUCGUAACAUUGGGAAGUUCCGAGUUUUAGUAUGGUAUUACACAUGUAUGCGUAUGUCGUUUGUCUUGACUUCUUUUGUUAGGUAAUUUCAAAGUAGUUCAAUAGGUAAGUUAUUGAUGUUGAGGUAGUUUUGGAUUUUAUGAGGAGUAUGUAACAUGAGGGAUUUGCACCUCCAGUCUCUCAUCCAAGGCUUUCAGUAUACAAGUCGAAAGAAAUAGGUAGGAUUUGAAGUGCUUCAAAAUUUCCUCAGCGAGAUGAUGGUCAUAAAUGAUUUCUUCGAAUAUCAUCACUAUUUGGAUGAUGGAUGUUGGAUUGUUUGCUUAAAUUGUUGGAUAAUCCUAACUGGACUAAAGUUAUCCUGGCGGACCUCAUGCCUCGAGACAUCUCUGAAAACUCAUGUAUUACUUUAUAUUGAGAGUUUUGUAGACCAUCAAUCCUUGGGGUUAGGUA